AGGCGACUGGAAGAGCUUCAGCAGGAGCUGGGCAGUAAGGAACAAGAGAAAGUUUCCGAGGUCAAUAAAGUGCGUGUGGAGCUGCAGGAGCAGAUUGGUCACCUGGAAGCUGAGAGAACAGCACAAGAAGGGCUGCGAGGGAAGAUUGCGGCCCUUGAGCGCCAGCUGAAAGUGUUGUCCAGUAACCACCGGGAGGCACUAUUGGACAAAGAGGGUGAAAUCUCCAGCCUGCUUGAGAAAUUACGGGUUCGGGAAGCAGAAAUCUCCAGGAUAAGGGAGGAGGAAGCUCAGCGGGCCAGCUUCCUUCAAAAUGCCAUCCUGACCUAUGUGCAAGGUUCCCCACUUGGCUCUCUCAGCCCCAAGAAGUGAGUACGUUCUGCAGUUCAUAAGGCCCAUCCUCAAGGAAAGGGAUCAUGAGAGGAUCAUGGUGGGCCAGGCCAGGCUUUCUUAUGUUUCCUGAAGAUCCAGGAAUCUCCAUGGCCAGUUACCUGGAACUAAGUGUGAAGCGUCAAUGAAGGACUUGUGGCCGCUUCAGAAACCAUCUUAAUUUCUGUGCCCAAAUCUUGUUCAACCACAGCAGCAAGAAUAGUCUUCAAGAUAAAAUCAUCUAUUCCUAUUUGUAACCCACAGAUAAUGUAUGUUCACACAAGUUCUCCCUCACUGAUUUUGGCCUCAAAUUUAGAUCCAAAAUGCAGAUCAUUUCUUGUUGGAUUGAUGGUUGUUGGAAAAAAUAAUAAUGCUUUGAUGUGACCGACUCUUUUAAAUGCAUCAAUCAACAGUAGUAAAAGGAACAUUUAAGUCAGCCAAUCAUGAAGAUUUUUCCUAUACUCAUUUUCCUUUUCUACAAGAUCUACAGCAUUCCAGAUAAUCUCAAAAGGACUAAUUUGAGUCUAGAGUCAUUUGGGGCUGUCCUGAUCCAGUAGAACACAGAAUUUAUUUUCCACGCCUGAGAAUAUCACUGUUAAGUCCAGUUUUCUAAGGAACUCUUUUACAGUAACCCUUAGCCAUUAGUACCUGAUUCCUGUGGACUUAAAGGUGAAACAGUCCAAAUAGGGGUGGGGUUGGAUUUAUCCACGAAGCCUUUUCAGUUUCAGUAAGAAGACACAGCUUCUCUCACUGGUGACAACAUUCGAAAUGUGAGCCAGAGGCUAGAAUAACUUCCAACUCAUCCUGAUUUAGCUGUAGUUGUCUUGAGAACAAGAUGACACACAUGGAACAAAGAA